rnacentral:tRNA from 1 species
UAGGGCGUAGCUCAAUUGGAAGAGCACCGGUCUCCAAAACCGGGUGGUGUUGGUUCGAAUCCAACCGGCCUAG